AUACGGAGGGUGCAAGCGUUAUUCGGAAUCACUGGGCGUACAGGACGCGUAGGCGGGUUGGCAAGUCAGAUGUGAAAUCCUACAGCUUAACUGUAGAACUGCAUUUGAAACUGCUAACCUAGAGUAUGGGAGGGGGAGAUGGAAUUAGUGGUGUAGGGGUAAAAUCCGUAGAUAUCACUAGGAAUACCGAAAGCGAAGGCGAUCUCCUGGAACAUAACUGACGCUAAGGCGUGAAAGUGUGGGGAGCAAACAGGAUUAGAAACCCUAGUAGUCC
rnacentral:rRNA from 1 species